GCCACUCCUCAUAUAUCUUGUCCUCCAGACCCUUCCCCAUCUUUGUAGCCCUCCUUUGGAUUCUCUCUCACAGUUCUGUGUCCGUCUUAGACUGUGUUGCACAGAGCUGCACGCAGUGCCGGAGCUGAGGCCACAGAGCACAGUGGGACAAACCCCUUCCCUCACCCAGCUGACACUGUGGGCCUCCCACACCCAAGGCCCUAGAGUUUUGUUUUCAAACAAGAUCUACAGAAAUCUAUUAAAGCACCUUAAAACUUGUGUAGCAUGGAAAGUGGUAGGUGUUAAAAGUGUGCUGAUGCUUCUGAGAGGUGGUGACACACAGCUUCAGGAUGCUCAAUAGCAGCACAGAGACACAUCUCCAGGGCAGGCGGAUGUGUGCUGGCCCCACCUGAGAGCGACCUCACCACGAGGGGUCAUUUUGGCCGAACAAAGCAGCUUUUUCUUUACUUUCCCCUCUCUCUUGCCAACCUCCGUCUAAAUUUGCUUCUGCCACUUCAGCGGUGGUUCUGGAUUAUCUGAAAUGUACACUGAAUUAAUCUCUCCUUAGAAAAGCAAUCAGAACAGUAAUCUUUGACUCACUGGGCUGGCUCUGUUGAGCAUUUUGCAGGGAAGGAAUUACACCUCCGUCCUUCCUUGUGGGGAGCACCCGGGGAUGUUCCCGUGUCUGCACUGCGUGCUAUUGCCAUGACCGCUCUUCUGUCUGAGAUGCAGAAGGAUUCAGCCUCUCUGGGAAACCUUCCUCCGGGCAUGUGCCACCUCCAGAGUGUGCUACAGCAUGAGUUCAUGGUAGAAGUUCAGCAGUGGAGUUGCUGAAGAUGGCCAGUUUUGUUCCAUGGCUGGUAGGACUCAUGGAGUAACCCGGGUCAGGCAGCGCCUCCAAAGGUCUCUAGUCCAGCCCCAGCAGAUCUGGCUGAUUGCUCAUGGCCUUCUCAAGUCAAGCUUGGAACACCUCCAAGGUUACGGAACCUGCAGCCUCUGCUUCAGCGCUUUUGUUUUCCCUUGUGCUGUAUCAGUUUCCCCUUUCCUAACCUGUACUUGCUGCCCUUUGUCAUACCCCAACGGAACUCACUGAAGAGCCUGGCUGAACCACCUCUUCACCUCCUCAGUGGAUACCUGGAGACAGUAAUUAGAUCUUUUUAUCUUAAGGCCCUUCAUCCUCUCACAGCCUGCCUUGAUAGGCUCUUUUUGCUCCAGAAUAUACUGUAUUUUUAUAAAACAUGGAGAUGUUUUUCAUAUCUUCCAAAUGGCCUACAUGGACAUACUGAGCUGCCCUGGCCAAGGCAAUAUGUCCAUUAAUCCAGGCAGAGGGAGAGGCCACAUGUAAGAAGCUGUUUGGAAGGCAACCCCCAUCCCACAAUGAGCCAUGACAUAGCAGCAGAUUUCUUCUUAGAAGAAUCAGUGCUUCUGGGCCUGCCUGACCCUGUGAUUCCUCUGUGAUGUGUUGGUGUAAAGGGCCUCAAGCCGCAAAGCAUUCCACAGCUUCCUCUUCUCCUUCGUGUGGGCUGCAUUGGCUUGGUGUGUGCCUGCAAUGCAGUCAUGUGGACAGUCUUUGCCAAAGCCCUGCGACUGUCCUCCUCCUCAGCCUCUGCCUCCGUGACCACAACAGCCUCCAACUUCAUCUCUUCGGCCAUCCUGGGCAAGCUUCUCUUUGGGGAGACAUGGACACCACUGUGGUGGAUUGGCCUCACUGUGACGCUGUGUGGCCUCAUGCUGCUGCAUACUGCUGCACCCCAGCCGACACUGCACGUGGUGGAGAAGAAGGGGUUGUGACAUCUCUCCUCUCUCCAUUUCCAGCUUGGAUAAUGCUUCAGCUGUUGCCACCACCAUGUCCCAACCAGGACUUCAUACCUUGCGCUUUCUCAGUCUCCUCAUUCUAUGCCAGAGUCUACUGAGCGCCGUCAGAUCUGCCCAGCUCCCUUGCACCUUUCUCCAUUGAUCCGCAAACUUACUUAUGCAGGUUGCAUCUUCCACAGUUGGCCAGGGCAACCAUUCCAGGUGCCCAGCAGAGCUGUGGGAACAGUGACAACUUGAGGGAGAGCUGAUCAGUCUGAGUCAGUUGUCUGGAAACCAGAGCCUGAGCUUAUCAGCCACCCCUCCUCUUCACACCCUGUGCUGAUGGAGCCUUCCCAGUGCCAGGACGGGAGGGAGAAAGUAAACAUAGUGGCUGUGGAAGGUGACCGUAUACAUUGGUACUUUUCCACGAGAGGAACCAUCCCAAAAUGAAAAAGCAAGCAGACCCUGGCACUGAAGGUUGUGGACAUUUCUAUCCUGCUGGGGGUGAUUUUCCUUGCUGCCUCUUGGAGAGGCCCCAUGUUCCUCCAGGUUCCUAUUGUCUGGAAGGCAGUGGAGCAUUCCACUAAUUCCUUUGGCUGCCUUUAUCACACACUCACACACACCUUUGGACUUGCCAUUUACGUCUGUUGCCUGUAAUUCCCAGUUUCCCAUUCCUGACAUGUUGCUCACUGUAAGGGGUUCCUUUUCCCUUUAAACUCUUAACCAGCGCUGAUUUUUUAUCUCGCUCUUUCUGGUUUGUGUACAUCAUACUGUAACAUGGGGAGAACACCAUGUCAUCAGUCAGCCCUCUUCAUUGUGAGUGUCCAUGAUGAACACUCAUCACUCAAGCUGACAAUUGCUUUAAGUAUAAAUGAAUUUUCUCAGAAAACGUGUUAUUUUACUGCUGGAUGAUGCUAUGUUCCAUUUGUGCAAUGUGCUCAACUGUGGGUCAGCGAUUACUCUUCAUUGCCAGAAUGAGAUGCCUGCCAGUAUGUUACACGUGGCAAGAAUCAUCAUUUACAAGGUGUUGGUUUCUUUCCCUUGCCUGCACAUGCUUGUUUUCUGUGGUAAUUUUUGAUUGCAAUCCUAAUAAAGAAUCAUAAUGAUGCCUAAAAAAUGUA